rnacentral:misc_RNA from 1 species
AACGCACGAGACCUGCGGACCUGCGGAGGGAUCAUUAAUGAGAAGCUGCCCCUCGUGGGUAGACCUCCCACCCUCUGUGAACUUACCUUUGUUGCUUUGGCAGGCCCGUCCUCUGGACCGCCGGCUUCGGCUGGCCCGUGCCUGCCAGAGGAUUCCAAACCCUGUCUGUCAGUGUUGUCUGAGUCUAUAUGGAAUCGUUAAAACUUUUAGCAACGGAUCUCUAGAUCGGAAGAGCACACG